rnacentral:rRNA from 1 species
UACGUAGGGUGCAAGCGUUGUCCGGAAUUAUUGGGCGUAAAGAGCUCGUAGGCGGUCUGUCGCGUCUGCUGUGAAAAACUCGGGGGCUUAACCCCCGGGCCUGCAGUGGGUACGGGCAGACUAGAGUGCGGUAGGGGAGACUGGAAUUCCGUGGUGUAGCGGUGAAAUGCGCAGAUAUCAGGAGGAACACCGGUGGCGAAGGCGGGUCUCUGGGCCGUAACUGACGCUGGAGGAGCGAAAGCGUGGGGGAGCGAACAGG